rnacentral:rRNA from 1 species
UAAUACGAAGGUGGCUAGCGUUAUUCGGAUUCACUGGGCAUAAAGCGCGCGUAGGCGGCUCUUCAAGUCGGUGGUGAAAGCCCGCAGCUCAACUGCGGAACAGCCUUCGAUACUGUCGAGCUUGAGUGCAGGAGGGGUGAUCGGAACUCCAGGUGUAGCGGUGAAAUGCGUAGAUAUCUGGAGGAACACCGGAGGCGAAGGCGGAUCACUGGACUGCCACUGACGCUGAGGCGCGAAAGCUAGGGGAGCAAACAGGAUUAGAUACCCUGGUAGUCCUAGCUGUAAACGAUGGGUACUAGGCAGCGGGGGCCCGAUGCUCUCGCUGUCGAAGCGAAUGUGCUAAGUACCCCGCCUGGGGAGUACGGCCGCAAGGCU